GACCCAGUGGCGGAUGGUCCGCACCUGCACCCCAUUGACGAUUGUAUCCACAGCGUUACUGCGGGAGUUCCUGGUUCCAAUCCAGGCUGGGUCA